GAGUGGGCAUGUGUCCUUGUUGGUCUCGGCAGGUCUCAGAGGUGACUACCACACAUUGAAGGAGUGGCAGUAACAUCCUGGUCCUGUGGAGAUUGUCAGUAGUCUCC
rnacentral:miRNA from 1 species